GAUGAACGCUGGCGGCGUGCCUAAUACAUGCAAGUCGAGCGAACAGACGAGGAGCUUGCUCCUCUGACGUUAGCGGCGGACGGGUGAGUAACACGUGGAUAACCUACCUAUAAGACUGGGAUAACUUCGGGAAACCGGAGCUAAUACCGGAUAAUAUAUUGAACCGCAUGGUUCAAUAGUGAAAGACGGUUUUGCUGUCACUUAUAGAUGGAUCCGCGCCGCAUUAGCUAGUUGGUAAGGUAACGGCUUACCAAGGCGACGAUGCGUAGCCGACCUGAGAGGGUGAUCGGCCACACUGGAACUGAGACACGGUCCAGACUCCUACGGGAGGCAGCAGUAGGGAAUCUUCCGCAACGGGCGAAAGCUUGACGGAGCAACGCCGCGUGAGUGAUGAAGGUCUUCGGAUCGUAAAACUCUGUUAUUAGGGAAGAACAAAUGUGUAAGUAACUAUGCACGUCUUGACGGUACCUAAUCAGAAAGCCACGGCUAACUACGUG
rnacentral:rRNA from 1 species